rnacentral:rRNA from 1 species
CUGCUCAGGAUGAACGCUGGCGGCGUGCCUAAUACAUGCAAGUCGAACGCUUUGUGGUUCAACUGAUUUGAAGAGCUUGCUCAGAUAUGACGAUGGACAUUGCAAAGAGUGGCGAACGGGUGAGUAACACGUGGGAAACCUACCUCUUAGCAGGGGAUAACAUUUGGAAACAGAUGCUAAUACCGUAUAACAAUGACAACCGCAUGGUUGUUAUUUAAAAGAUGGUUCUGCUAUCACUAAGAGAUGGUCCCGCGGUGCAUUAGCUAGUUGGUAAGGUAAUGGCUUACCAAGGCGAUGAUGCAUAGCCGAGUUGAGAGACUGAUCGGCCACAAUGGGACUGAGACACGGCCCAUACUCCUACGGGAGGCAGCAGUAGGGAAUCUUCCACAAUGGGCGAAAGCCUGAUGGAGCAACGCCGCGUGUGUGAUGAAGGGUUUCGGCUCGUAAAACACUGUUGUAAGAGAAGAAUGACAUUGAGAGUAACUGUUCAAUGUGUGACGGUAUCUUACCAGAAAGGAACGGCUAAAUACGUGCCAGCAGCCGCGGUAAUACGUAUGUUCCAAGCGUUAUCCGGAUUUAUUGGGCGUAAAGCGAGCGCAGACGGUUAUUUAAGUCUGAAGUGAAAGCCCUCAGCUCAACUGAGGAAUUGCUUUGGAAACUGGAUGACUUGAGUGCAGUAGAGGAAAGUGGAACUCCAUGUGUAGCGGUGAAAUGCGUAGAUAUAUGGAAGAACACCAGUGGCGAAGGCGGCUUUCUGGACUGUAACUGACGUUGAGGCUCGAAAGUGUGGGUAGCAAACAGGAUUAGAUACCCUGGUAGUCCACACCGUAAACGAUGAGUGCUAGGUGUUUGAGGGUUUCCGCCCUUAAGUGCCGCAGCUAACGCAUUAAGCACUCCGCCUGGGGAGUACGACCGCAAGGUUGAAACUCAAAGGAAUUGACGGGGACCCGCACAAGCGGUGGAGCAUGUGGUUUAAUUCGAAGCAACGCGAAGAACCUUACCAGGUCUUGACAUCCCUUGACAACUCCAGAGAUGGAGCGUUCCCUUCGGGGACAAGGUGACAGGUGGUGCAUGGUUGUCGUCAGCUCGUGUCGUGAGAUGUUGGGUUAAGUCCCGCAACGAGCGCAACCCUUAUUACUAGUUGCCAGCAUUCAGUUGGGCACUCUAGUGAGACUGCCGGUGACAAACCGGAGGAAGGUGGGGAUGACGUCAAAUCAUCAUGCCCCUUAUGACCUGGGCUACACACGUGCUACAAUGGCGUAUACAACGAGUUGCCAACCCGCGAGGGUGAGCUAAUCUCUUAAAGUACGUCUCAGUUCGGAUUGUAGGCUGCAACUCGCCUACAUGAAGUCGGAAUCGCUAGUAAUCGCGGAUCAGCACGCCGCGGUGAAUACGUUCCCGGGUCUUGUACACACCGCCCGUCACACCAUGAGAGUUUGUAACACCCAAAGCCGGUGGGGUAACCUUCGGGAGCCAGCCGUCUAAGGUGGGACAGAUGAUUAGGGUGAA